rnacentral:rRNA from 1 species
UACAGAGGUCCCGAGCGUUGUUCGGAUUCACUGGGGCGUAAAGGGUGCGUAGGUGGUGAGGUAAGUCGGAUGUGAAAUCUCCGGGCUCAACCCGGAAAUGGCAUUGGAAACUACCUUGCUGGAGGAUUUGAGGGGGGAUUGGAAUGACUUGGUUGUAGCAGUGAAAUGCGUAGAUAUCAAGUGGAACACCAGUGGCGAAGGCGAAUCCCUGGAAAUACCUGACACUGAGGCACGAAAGCUAGGGGAGCAACAGG